CAGGUAGAGCAGGUGGAGGAUGAUGGCCAGCGCCUUGGUGAACUGGGCCGAGUCUCCGGGCUCCCUGGGCAGCUGCAGGGCCCGUUCCACUUCCCGGACCCCUUUGGUGAGGACCCCCAUGAGGUCUGCAAAGCCGAUCUGGGUGCCCAGACUGCCCUUGGCGGCCCGGUCCUGCAGCACGUAGGAGAAGAGUUCCGCGAAGGAGAGGAAGCUGCUGGCGGUCAUGGGGCUCAGAGGCUCCAGGUUGGUCUGUUGCAUGUCCAGGGCGUACUUCCACAAGCGGAUGCAGCGCUCGAAAUUGCCCGAGUCGGCGUACACGGCGCCCCUGUAACGGAUAUAAUAGGAAGUGUCGGGGUGCGAGGGACCGAGGAUGCGCUCCCGGAUCAACAGGGCCUGCAUGCGCAUCUCAUCCGGGUCGGUGAUCAGCGCCUCCAGCUCCUCGGUGGUGUUGACCUCCCUGGAAUAGUCAUAGGCCAGGACCAGCUGUGGGGGCUGCUCCUGGAUGAGGUACUCCACAAUGUUGGUGUGGCCCGUCACACUGGCCGCAAGCAGCGGGGUCAUGCCGUAGCCGUCACGUUCCAUGCGGGCCUUGCACCCCAGCAGCAGCUGCAGGAUCUCCAGGCUGCCGGACUCGGCGCAGUCGUGCAGGGCCGUGUUGCCCUUGGCGCUGCGCCGGUUCACCUGGGCGCCCUGCUCCAGCAGGUAGCGGGCGAUCUCACGAUGGCCCUUGUAGCACGAGAUCAUGAGGCACGUGUGGCCGUGCCGGUUGGCCACCUCAAGGUCGGCCUGGUGCUCGCCGACCAGGUAGCGCACCACCUCCAGGUGGCCGUCGAAGCAGGCGGCGCGCAGGGGCGUGGAGUUGGUGCGCGUGGUGGCCGGCGGCGGAGGCGGCCCACAGCGGCGGCGCGCCCUCGAUGGUCUCGCCAUCGAAGUGCACCGAGCCACCGGCCUCCACGCUCGCGCCGCACCGGUCCACCAGGUACUCCACCACAUCCAGGUGGCCGUAGCGCGCGGCGAUGAGCAGCGGCGUCCCCCCGCCGGCCACCUCGCCUGUCAGCUCGUCCAGUUCCUCCCGGCUCCGGCCGCUGAGCAGCUUCUGGAGCAGCUGCAGCUUGCCGUCACGGGCAGCGUUGUACACGGCGGUGCGGAGGUCCAUGGUUCGGGCCUCCGCCAGGCCAUGGGCCGGCCGCCGGAGGACGGGGAGACAGAGGAUCAGAGCCCGGACGGGCGGGAGGCAACCUUCACCGUCUCCCUCGCCGCCAUCUUAGGGGUUCCUCGGGCGGAACAAAAUGGCUGCCGCGACCCGACGAAUGGGAGCACGCCGGGAAAUGGAGUCCUCUGCGCGGGCCCACUCCAUAGAACAAAAAAGGAAUCAUGGGGGAUUAAGACUACACUUCCUAAAAGGCCACAGGACAGCCCCUGCGAGCUGUGAGCGCGCGGCAUGAUGGAAAUUGGUGUUCCAGUUGCAGUGCAUGACCGGGGAAGUUAGCAAUUUGAGAACUACAAUUCCCGUCAUGCAGCGCUACACGACCUAGCUUGUGGGAACCGGCGAAAUUUGGUGACGUACUUCCCGUGGCUGUCUCUACGUCAGAGCCUAUGGAAAAAGCCUGCACGAUGCCCUUAAGGACUACAUUUCCCAAAAGGCAUGGCGAGCGACUCUGAGCCAGUCAGGACCUAGACCGAAGGCCAAGCUCGGCCAGAGGGGGCGAGUCAUGAUUCGGGGUUGGAGCAUAGGCGAGCAGCCCACCGGCAGGGGGCGCCAAGAGGAGGCCGAAAAGCCAGGCAGGGCGAAAGCGUUUUGAGCUGGGAGAACAGGGAGAGAUAAGGGUAAAAAAUUACGCGCUCAGUUCUUAUUCCCCCAUUCAUUUAUUCAUUCAUUCAUUUACAUGCAUUUAUUUAUAUCCUAGCAUAUGUCAGAAUUUCCUUCUUCUAUUUUAUUUACGUAAUUAUUUCUUUCAAUAACUUCGUGGGAUUUUUUUGUGUGUUUUUGUUUUUGAGACAGUCUCUGUCUGUCGCCCAGGCUGUAGUGCAGUGGUGCAAUCUCGGCUCACUGCAACAUCCACCUCCCGGGUUCAAGCGAUUCUUGUGCCUCAGCCUCCCGAGUAGCUGGGAUUACAGGCGCCCGCCACCACACCCAGCUAAUUUUUGUAUUUUUAGUAGAGACGGGGUUUCACCAUGUUGGCCAGGAUGAUCUCGAACUCCUGGCCUUAGGCGAUCCCCCCGCCUUAUCCUCCCAAAGUGCUAGGAUUACAGGCGUGAGCCCCUGUGCCCGGCCUGACAUGCUGAUUUCAAUUCCUUUGGAUAAAUACCCAGAACUGGGAUUGCUGGAUCAUCUGGUAGUUCUAUUUUUAAAUUUUUCUUUGGAACUUCCAUACCAUUUUCCAUAAUGGCUAUACUAAUUAAAAUUACCAUCAAUAGUGCGUAAGUGUUCUCUUCAAAUCCUUGCCAACAUUUGGUACCUUUCAUCUUUUUGAUAAUAGCUAUUCUAGCAGUUGUAAGGUGAUCCAUUUCCUGGCAUUUUUUUGACAGCAGUGAAUUAUGAGACAGAAAUCUUUGGUGGCCCGAAUUAUUUAUUUUUAAAAUGUAUUCAAGAUGCAAUAUAUAUACACUAAAAUGCAUUUUUUUUUGAACGGAGCCGUCUGCGCCAGCGGAGGCAGCCGGUCUCGCCCGCCCCCCCCCCCCCCCCCCCCCGGCGGCCGCCCCCCCUCGCCGGCUAGUUUUUGUAUUUUAGUAGACGGUUCCGUGUAGCAGAUGUCUCAUUCUGACUUGUGAUCGCCGUCUGGCUCCAAGUGCGGAUACAGGCUGAGCCCGCGCGGCUGCAAUGCAUUUAAUAAAGAGGACAGGGCCGGGCGCGGUGGCUCAAGCCUGUAAUCCCAGCACUUUGGGAGGCCGAGACGGGCGGAUCACAAGGUCAGGAGAUCGAGACCAUCCUGGCUAACACGGCGAAACCCCGUCUCUACUAAAAACACAAAAAAUUAGCCGGGGGAGGUGGCGGCGCCUGUGGUCCCAGCUACUUGGGAGGCUGAGGCAGGAGAAUGGCGGGAACCCGGGAGGCGGAGCUUGCAGUGAGCUGAGAUCUGGCCACUGCACUCCAGCCUGGGCGACAGAGCGAGACUCCAUCUCAAAAAAAAAAAAAAAAAAAAAAAAAAAAGAGGACAGGUUUGGCUAGGCAGGGUCACUCACACCUGUAAUCUCACCACUUUGGGAGGCUGAGGUGGGAGGAUUGCUUGAACCCAGAAAUUCGAGACCCGCCUGGGAAACAUAGCCCAUCUCUACAAAAAUACAAAAAUUAGCUGGGCGUGGUAGCGUGCACCUGUUGUCUCAGCUAUUAAGGAGGCUGAAGUGGGAGGAUUGCUUGAACCUCUGAAGUCAAGGCUGCAGUGAGCCAUGAUUGCACCAUUGCACUUCAGCCUGGGUGACAGAGGGAGACCCUGUCUCCAAGAUAAAUAAAUGAAAAUAAAUAAAUAGAACAGGUGUGACAAACAUGCAGUUAUGUAGCCAGUAUCACAACUGAGAUGUUCAACAGCAUCUUCAUUCAGAAUGUUAUCUCAUGCUGGCUGGGAGCAGUGGCUCAUGCCUGUAAUCCCAGCACUUUGGGAGGCCCAGGCGGGUGGAUCACGAGGUCAGGAGAUCAAGACCAUCCUGGCUAACACGGUGAAACCCCGUCUCUACUAAAAAUACAAAAAAUUAGCCGGGCGUGGUGGCAGGCACCUGUAGUCCCAGCUACUCAGGAGGCUGAGGCAGGAGAAUGGCCUGAACCCGGGAGGCGGAGCUUGUAGUAGUGAGCCGAGAUUGCGUCACUGCACUCCAGCCUGGGGGACAGAGCGAGACUCCAUCUUGAAAAAAAAAAAAAAAGAAAAAAAGAAUGUUGUAUCAUGCCCUUUUGGUCAACGCCUUUGUCCACCCGCAGCCACUAGUAAAUGCUGAUCUGUUCUCUGCAUUUCAUAAUAACAGCAUAGAAAUGGAAAAAUGCAAUAUGCGGCCUCUGGGGUCUGCUGCUUUCAUUCAGCACAAUGCAUUCAAGAUGCAACUAUGCUGUUGCGCGUAUUAGUAGCUCGUUGCCUUUUAUUAUGGAGCUGUAUUCCAUGGCAAGAAUGAGCCACCAUUCUUUUAUCCAUUACGUAAUGGUUCUUUCCAGUUUUAGAUGACAAAUAAACCUGCUAUAAACUUCUGCGUACAGGUCUUUGUGUGGAAAUAUGUUUUCAUUUCUCUUGGGUAAUGCCUACGAGUGUAAGUAUUCUUUUUUUUUCUUUUCUUUUUUUCUUUUGAGAUAGAGUUUCGGCCGGGUGCGGUGGCUCAAGCCUGUAAUCCCAGCACUUUGGGAGGCCGAGACGGGCGGAUCACGAGGUCAGGAGAUCGAGACCAUCCUGGCUAACACAAUGAAACCCCGUCUCCACUAAAAAUACAAAAAAAUUAGCCGGGCGUGGUGGCGGCGCCUGUAGUCCCAGCUACUCGGGAGGCUGAGGCAGGAGAAUGGCGGGAACCCGGGAGGCGGAGCUUGCAGUGAGCCGAGAUCGCGCCACUGCACUCCAGCCUGGGCGACAGAGCGAGACUCCACCUCAAAAAAAAAAAAAAAAAAAAAAAAAGAGAUAGAGUUUCACUCUUUUUUUUUUUUUUUUUUUUUUUUUUUUUGAGGCGGAGUUUCGCUCUGUCUCCAGCUGGUGCAGUGCCGGAUCUCACUCACUGCAAGCUCCGCUCCCGGUUUACGCAUUCUCCUGCUCAGCCUCCAUAGCUGGAC
ensembl:lncRNA